rnacentral:rRNA from 1 species
UUUAUCAAAAACAUGGCUCUUUGUAUAAUUUGUAAAUAGAGAGUCGGACCUGCCCAGUGAAAGUAUUUAACGGCCGCGGUACCCUGACCGUGCAAAGGUAGCGUAAUCAUUUGCCUUAUAAUUGAAGGCUAGUAUGAAUGGUUUGACUAGAACAAAGCUGUCUCUUUAUAAUUUAAUAAAAUUUUAUUUUUAGGUGAAGAAGCCUAAAUUUAAUUAAAAGACAAGAAGACCCUAUCGAGCUUUAAAUAAAUUAGCAAAUUACUUAAAAUAUUUAUGUAAAAAAUUAAUUGUUAAAAAUUUUGGUUGGGGCGACUAAGGAACAAUUAAAGCUUCCUUAAUAUUUAAUAAUUUACAAAUAGGGAUCCAAAUUUUUUGAUUAAAGAAAUUAGUUACCGUAGGGAUAACAGCAUUAUCUUUUUUGAGAGUUCUUAUCGAAAAAAAGGUUUGUGACCUCGAUGUUGGACCAGAAUAUCCUAAAGGUGCAGAAGUCUUUAAGGGUUGGUCUGUUCGACCAUUAAAAUUCUACGUGAUCUGAGUUCAGACCGGCGUGAGCCAGGUCAGUUUCUAUCUUUAAUUUUUAUUUUAAGUUUAGUACGAAAGGACCAACUUAUAGUAUUUAAUAUUAUGAAUGAAAUAAUUUAAUAUUUUUGUAUCAGAUUAGUACAUUUAAUACAAUUGAUUUAGAAUCAAUAGAUAUAAGUGAAAUUCUGUUAUCUGACAUCUUUAUAAAGAUGGCAGAUCGUAGAGCCUUGGGUUU